UACAGAGGGGGCAAGCGUUGUCCGGACUUACUGGGUGUAAAGCGCAUGCAGGUGGCUGUGCAAGUAUGCUGUGAAAGCCCCGUGCUUAACACGGGGAGGCCAGUAUAGACUGCACGGCUCGAGGACUGCAGAGGGUAGGGGAAUUGCUGGUGUAGUGGUGAAAUGCGUAGAUAUCGUAAGGAAGACCAGUGGCGAAGGCGGGUCUCUGGGCCGAUACUGACGCUGAGGAGCGAAAGCGUGGGGAGCGAACAGG
rnacentral:rRNA from 1 species